CGGGGAACGCCGAUGGUACUCGAGAGCCGAUUCUUAGCUCGAACGCGCGUCAGUGAACGGUCCCCAUUGUUUAGGCCCAGGUAAUCCGCGAAUAACAAGAGAGUGCUAAUCGUAUUUGUCGAAAUGACGACGAGUCCUCUUGGUGUUAAGUUAGCCGACGUGGAGCGCUAUUCUUAUCUGGAAAAGAAGACGGACGGCUGAUAAAAUCGCCCGAUCGGUGGCUCGCACGCAAUAACGAGGAGCGAAGUAACGUCUGUGUGCAUGAUUUACGACAGCGGAAUCGAGGGGUCGGCCGGUUGUCUGGUUCUGCUUCGCCGUUGGGAGAACUCGCGGGGGUCACAGGAGAUUUCUCUUCCGCGGUGGACCGCGCGCACUGAAGACCGCGGGUUCUCACGCGUGAUUGGCGUGCAUAAAUGGGUGACGACUUGCGGCGGCAUCGGGGAUUUUCGAGAUAUUGAUGAUGAUUAUGAGAGCCGACGGAGGUCUUCAGCUCGCGGUGGACAGCCACGGCGACGUCUAACUAACCACGCUGCUAUCUGAUGCCGGCAGACCACGACGAAAGGGGCGAUGAAGAAAUUAUUUUCACUUUCUCCGUCACUGCGGCGAGAGCGUAACUCGGUGCACGUGUACGCUCAUUCCUUCUCUCUCUCUCUCUCUCCCUCUCGCCGGAGCUAAUUGCAAUGUUAAAUCGCCCCGCCGAUGGAGCGAAAAUCCGUGACGCAACGAAUGGCGCAACGGAAGAAAUCGAACGAGAAAGACGCGGUGCUUUCGUUUUCGCGCACGCGUUAGCUUCUGUGGAAACGCGUCGUAGAACACGUUCUGUAGAACACUGUAGAUAUCGAAACGGGUUAUGCUUUUGUUUCUUUUACAGAAAGAACAUAUUCCUGCAAAAGGUAUUCUCCCUUCUGUCGGACAGGUAGGACAUAGCGGAAAAAGCGUCGCGGUUUCAUUUAUAAUUUAUUAUAAGAUUUAUAAUUUAACAAGAUGAUUUUGAAAAGAUUUGGUAAUUAUGCGAACCAGUUGUGCUUCGCACGUUGCAUAUGGUAGCGAUAGCGGUAGUAAUAUUAGAAGAAGGAGGAGAAGAGGAACAAACUGGUGAGCUCCGGUAGGUGAGCGCGGACGUGUGCGGCCGAGUGUCAUUAUCUGCACACUUUCUCCGAUCGAGUCACGUGCGGAUAGCGCAUACGAGAGUUACGUCGGCAAUGAUUGACGGAGAGACGGGGGCAAGACGUGCGGGCGGCAGCUUCUUAGAGCCGUAAGGAUGUAAGCAUGAAAAAUGGUUAAUCGAUGGUAAAAUAUGAAUGGAAAAAAAUACAAGUUUUC